CGGCACCGUCACGUUUCAUGACGCGCGCGGAGAAAGUAAACGCUUGAUGAAAAGGCAGAGGAACGCUCGGAUAUGGUUAUAAUUAGCAACACGUGAAAUUAACAGUUAAUUAUUGAAAACACCGGAUGAGAACGGUCCAACUUCUUAAUUAAAGCGGGGAUCUUGUUCGCAGCUCUGGCCAAAUUCACACCGACGAGAAAGAAUGGUUUAAUGAAACUGUCUCUGUUUCCACUAAACGAUUACGCACGACGGUUAAACUGAUUUAAGUUGGUCAGUUUCACACAUUUCUGCACAAAUCCAAAUAAAUGAGUACGUGGAGUCGGUUCGAUUCACUUAAUUUACCUUCCACCCAGCAGAGGCAGCACUGGGCGAACUGUGCGCAAAGUAGCGCAAAUUACGCGCCACGAAACACCGCGCUCUAGAACGAGAGGGGGGCGUUUUAUAUUAGCAAUUAGGAAUGAAAGAUAACGCGUUGUCCCGAAGGCCACUUUGCCCCUAACUUAAUUACUCGUCUACCGCUCCACGCUGUUUUGGCACCUCGCACCAAGUUUGCGCCAAACUAGUUUCCGCCAACAUUGUCCAAAGAACCAUUUAUGAAGGUGAACGAUGAACCCAAAUCCAUGCUCCCAAACCUCGGACUGCAGCUUCAGGACGCCAGUGAGAGCGUCUCCUUCAGAGUGAGGAGUUGAAGGAUAACGUAGCUCAUGGAGGGAGGCGGGCGCCGCCUCCCAUUUCUCAGGUGAGCUCCGUCUCAAUGAGCCGACUGUGACUCACCGGCGGCGUCUGGCAAAAUCCCCUCUCAGGAGAUGAAGUCUUAGAUCGCUGAGAAACAAACACCGUGGCGGUUUCUAUUUCACGCGUAAUUCUUCCAGCAAACAAUGGAAGAGCUACAGUUUCGAACCUGCACCCAGAACAUCAGCAGGAUUUCCUCUUCGUACACAGACACAUGGUUCAAUCAGACACCUGCCGCUGCCGAGGCGACCUGAUGUGGACAGAUGUGUUCCAGUGCCUCUGCCUCUGUGGAGUUAACGAUGUGCGCCGGCCUCACUCCCAUGACUUUGACACGAGGCUUCGUCUGUGACACACUUCAGGUAUAAUAUUGUGAUUCCAGG